CUAUCAUAAUAAUCACCUCAUAAAACUCAAAGAAAGGUUCCUUAUUCCUUAAAUUAUGUUCAACAUCACCAACCCCCAGUUUUUUGUCAAAUAUGUUAUUCCAAGUUGAUCAAUUUUUAAAUUGUAGCCUUGUAUCCAAACGGAACAUGUGACAGCGAUGCCGACUGUCAUUCCCUUGUUAUUGAAAACCUCUUCUGCUGUAUAGGGACCGAGUGGUGUUGUCCUUAUGGGUACGACUGUACAGGAACUUCCACCUGUAAGGGAAUAAGGUGGCAAGAAACCGAUAGAAGUUUCGGAGAUGACUCCAACGAGAGAGAGAGGAUUAGGAACUCAAAUCAAUCUGUGAUCGUAAACACCAUCAUAGUAACCUCCAUCCUGUUCGGUCUCAUAAUCUUUGGUAUUUUAGUUCUCUGUGGAUGUUGCAAGAGAAGAAAUUUGCCAAAAGCUCAGCCUUUAACUCAGUCUCCACCUGCGUACAGUAGAUUUUAACCUGCCUGCUGAUAGACCGCUGCAUACGAUUCAUAUCGCAUCUUUCAACUCAACUUGCUGUGAUUUACUUGAACUUGUUUUCUGGUUGCAAUAACCUUUAUAGUUGCCUAAACCUAGAAAGUUGUUUGGCAUGGAAAUGACAGUAACUGUUCUAUUACAAUAGCCGUUGGACACAGGCAAAAUAUAAACAUUAUGAAAAAAAAAAAUGUCUGUAUUAAAACUACCCAAUAAAUUUUUAAACCCAGUUUGCGAUUUUUUAAAAUAUCGAUUUUGAUUUCAAUGUAAAUUUCAUGUACCAUACGACGUAAAUCAGCCUUAGACAACAGUUUCAUGGCUAUAAAUUCUGUAUUGUUGUACACAAUUGUUACCCUCUUACCCAAAACAUCAUAACUGCGUUGUAUAUUUUUUUUUUUACAAAUUUAAGUUAAUUUAAAAUAAAAACUCUUGUAAAGAGUUUUGUAUAAUUUUUUGAAGUGGAUUUUUCACAAUAUAUAUCGCUUUAUUUUUUUAAAGGAAACAAUGAGAGAGCCUAUAUAAUAAAUACAUUAUAUCAUUUAAGCGUUGACGGUAAAUGUUACGGGGAAAAUAUAUAAAUAGUCAACAAAUGUAUCCCAACAUGCAUAUAAGGCACAAUAAUUAAAAAUAUAAUGUUGGU